UACGGAGGGUGCUAGCGUUGUUCGGAAUCACUGGGCGUAAAGGGCGUGUAGGCAGCCUGCUAAGUCUGAUGUGAAAUCCCCUCGCUCAACGAGGGAACUGCGUCGGAUACUGGCAGACUCGAGUACCGGAGAGGAAGGUGGAAUUCCCGGUGUAGCGGUGAAGUGCGUAGAUAUCGGGAGGAACACCGGUGGCGAAGGCGGCCUUCUGGACGGAUACUGACGCUGAGACGCGAAAGCGUGGGGAGCAAACAGG
rnacentral:rRNA from 1 species